UACGGGGGGGGCAAGCGUUGUUCGGAAUUACUGGGCGUAAAGGGCGCGUAGGCGGCCUACUAAGUCGGACGUGAAAUCCCUCGGCUCAACCGAGGAACUGCGUCCGAUACUGGCAGGCUGGAAUCCGGGAGAGGGAUGUGGAAUUCCAGGUGUAGCGGUGAAAUGCGUAGAUAUCUGGAGGAACACCGGUGGCGAAGGCGGCAUCCUGGACCGGUAUUGACGCUGAGGCACGAAAGCGUGGGGAGCAAACAGG
rnacentral:rRNA from 1 species